rnacentral:rRNA from 1 species
UCGUCACACUAUCAUUAACUGAAUCCAUAGGUUAAUGAGGCGAACCGGGGGAACUGAAACAUCUAAGUACCCCGAGGAAAAGAAAUCAACCGAGAUUCCCCCAGUAGCGGCGAGCGAACGGGGAGGAGCCCAGAGCCUGAAUCAGCAUGUGUGUUAGUGGAAGCGUCUGGAAAGGCGCGCGAUACAGGGUGACAGCCCCGUACACAAAAGCGCAUGUGCUGUGAGCUCGAUGAGUAGGGCGGGACACGUGGUAUCCUGUCUGAAUAUGGGGGGACCAUCCUCCAAGGCUAAAUACUCCUGACUGACCGAUAGUGAACCAGUACCGUGAGGGAAAGGCGAAAAGAACCCCGGCGAGGGGAGUGAAAAAGAACCUGAAACCGUGUACGUACAAGCAGUGGGAGCACCCUUUUGGGUGUGACUGCGUACCUUUUGUAUAAUGGGUCAGCGACUUAUAUUCUGUAGCAAGGUUAACCGAAUAGGGGAGCCGUAGGGAAACCGAGUCUUAAUUGGGCGUUAAGUUGCAGGGUAUAGACCCGAAACCCGGUGAUCUAGCCAUGGGCAGGUUGAAGGUUGGGUAACACUAACUGGAGGACCGAACCGACUAAUGUUGAAAAAUUAGCGGAUGACCUGUGGCU